rnacentral:rRNA from 1 species
GCUCAGGAUGAACGCUAGCUACAGGCUUAACACAUGCAAGUCGAGGGGUAGCAGGGUAGCAAUACCGCUGACGACCGGCGCACGGGUGAGUAACACGUAUCCAACCUUCCCAUAACUCGGGGAUAGCCUUUCGAAAGAAAGAUUAAUACCCGAUAGUACUUUUUUAGGGCAUCUUAGAAAAGUUAAAGAUUUAUUGGUUAUGGAUGGGGAUGCGUUCCAUUAGAUAGUUGGUGAGGUAACGGCUCACCAAGUCUUCGAUGGAUAGGGGUUCUGAGAGGAAGGUCCCCCACAUUGGUACUGAGACACGGACCAAACUCCUACGGGAGGCAGCAGUGAGGAAUAUUGGUCAAUGGGCGAGAGCCUGAACCAGCCAAGUAG